CAACUUUUAACAACGGAUCUCUUGGUUCUCGCAUCGAUGAAGAACGUAGCAAAGUGCGAUAACUAGUGUGAAUUGCAUAUUCAGUGAAUCAUCGAGUCUUUGAACGCAACUUGCGCUCAUUGGUAUU
rnacentral:rRNA from 1 species